rnacentral:lncRNA from 1 species
UUUUCUUUUGCAUUAUAUUCAUUUUUGUAAUGACCAUUCCUGCCACAAUGUGUGCUGAUUUUGUUUUCAGGAAGAGUGAUAUACUUGCUUUUGGGAUCCACAUAGGUGCUUGGGUCCCAUAGCCAAGUCCUCUCUUAUUGCUACUAUGAUGUUCUUAAAGCCAGGAUAGUACAUCAGAAGCCUUAUUCCAUUUGCAAGUUCUGUCUACUUCAUGUUUUACCUUCCCUAGGUCUUCUUUGAGGACUCAUAUCUGUUCAUCUUUCUUGUACAACUCAUCUUUCAUUUUUCCUACGUUUUGUCUAAGGUGAGAUGUGUGUGAUUAGGUUUCUUAUUCCAUCUUUCUAAUUUCAAUUUUAAAUGUUUAGACCUAAGUUCUGAAACACAUAUGUCGAGUUCAAGAAACUGGUUCUUCAACUCAACAUUUUUACUAUCACUCUCAUUAGUCCUAGAUUCUAGAUUUUUGCACUUGGCUUUUAAGAUCACACAUCCCUAGACAGAUGUUCC